rnacentral:rRNA from 1 species
GACUACUAGGGUAUCUAAUCCUGUUUGCUCCCCACGCUUUCGUGCCUCAGCGUCAGUUAUGGUCCAGACGAUCGCUUUCGCCUCUGGUGUUCCUCCUAAUAUCUAUGCAUUCCACCGCUACACUAGGAAUUCCAUCAUCCUCUCCCACACUCAAGUCCAUCAGUUUUAGAAGCAGCACCUGAGUUAAGCCCUAGGUAUUACACUUCUAACUUGAUAAACCGCCUACACACCCUUUACGCCCAGUCAUUCCGGACAACGCUUGCCCCCUAUGUAUUACCGCGGCUGCUGGCACAUAGUUAGCCGGGGCUUGUUCUUUGGGUACCGUCAUUUAUUCGUCCCCAAUCAAAGAGCUUUACAAUCCAUAAGACCUUCAUCACUCACGCGGCAUUGCUGGGUAAGAGUUUCCUCCAUUGCCCAAUAUUCCCCACUGCAGCCCCCCGUAGG